UACAGAGGGUGCGAGCGUUAAUCGGAAUUACUGGGCGUAAAGCGUGCGUAGGUGGUUCGUUAAGUCUGAUGUGAAAGCCCUGGGCUCAACCUGGGAAUGGCAUUGGAUACUGGCGACCUAGAGUGCGGUAGAGGGGUGUGGAAUUCCCGGUGUAGCAGUGAAAUGCGUAGAUAUCAGGAGGAACAUCUGUGGCGAAGGCGACACCCUGGACCAGCACUGACACUGAGGCACGAAAGCGUGGGGAGCAAACAGG
rnacentral:rRNA from 1 species